rnacentral:tRNA from 1 species
CGGGUGCUGCUGCAGGAGCUGCAGGAGCGGCUUCGCUGGCGGCCUGCGGUGCAGCGGGCGUCGUCGCCGGUGCUGCAGCUGGCGCAUCCGGC